UAAAACUGUAAUGAUUUAUUAAAUUUGAUUCUACAUAUAGAUUAUAUAAAAGAAUCAAAACAUAAAUUCAAUUUGUGGUAUUGCUGCUCUUCAUUGAUACCGUACAUAUUGGUUAUGUGUGAUAGCACUUAGUCAAAAUUAAUUAAUCUUCACACAUAGAGCGAAUACAAAGCUGGCAAUUGAAGAUCAAAGCUAAAAAAAAGGUGUCCAAGGCAAUUUGUGAAAAUUUUGCUACAGAAGUUAGAUCACUUUGGAUUAUUUACAAGCAGUUUUAUUAUUCUUUGAAGGGAAACGUUACAAUAUUGCGGCAUUUCUUCCCCUUGCUCUUCCGGAGGCAGUGACAAAAUUUUCCGACAGGGACAGGCAAUAUGGCGUGGCGUAAUCCAACAUAUUGGAACUUUCUCCCAAUGCAAAGACGCGAUUCCUGAAGCCUCCAGCAAAUACCAUUUGAAAAGUGUGGGUUCCAUGAAGGUCUACAUGGAUUGGGAAUGGCAUCGGAGUUCCCUUGUUUCCAAACUCAACUCCAACUAAAGUAUGUGCAGCACCACCGAAGGUUUCCAGUCCGGGAACAGUUGUUGGA